rnacentral:rRNA from 1 species
AAAUUGAAGAGUUUGAUCAUGGCUCAGAUUGAACGCUGGCGGCAGGCCUAACACAUGCAAGUCGAACGGUAACAGGAAGCAGCUUGCUGCUUUGCUGACGAGUGGCGGACGGGUGAGUAAUGUCUGGGAAACUGCCUGAUGGAGGGGGAUAACUACUGGAAACGGUGGCUAAUACCGCAUAACGUCGCAAGACCAAAGAGGGGGACCUUCGGGCCUCUUGCCAUCAGAUGUGCCCAGAUGGGAUUAGCUAGUUGGUGAGGUAACGGCUCACCAAGGCGACGAUCCCUAGCUGGUCUGAGAGGAUGACCAGCCACACUGGAACUGAGACACGGUCCAGACUCCUACGGGAGGCAGCAGUGGGGAAUAUUGCACAAUGGGCGCAAGCCUGAUGCAGCCAUGCCGCGUGUAUGAAGAAGGCCUUCGGGUUGUAAAGUACUUUCAGCGGGGAGGAAGGUGUUGUGGUUAAUAACCGCAGCAAUUGACGUUACCCGCAGAAGAAGCACCGGCUAACUCCGUGCCAGCAGCCGCGGUAAUACGGAGGGUGCAAGCGUUAAUCGGAAUUACUGGGCGUAAAGCGCACGCAGGCGGUCUGUCAAGUCGGAUGUGAAAUCCCCGGGCUCAACCUGGGAACUGCAUUCGAAACUGGCAGGCUUGAGUCUUGUAGAGGGGGGUAGAAUUCCAGGUGUAGCGGUGAAAUGCGUAGAGAUCUGGAGGAAUACCGGUGGCGAAGGCGGCCCCCUGGACAAAGACUGACGCUCAGGUGCGAAAGCGUGGGGAGCAAACAGGAUUAGAUACCCUGGUAGUCCACGCCGUAAACGAUGUCUACUUGGAGGUUGUGCCCUUGAGGCGUGGCUUCCGGAGCUAACGCGUUAAGUAGACCGCCUGGGGAGUACGGCCGCAAGGUUAAAACUCAAAUGAAUUGACGGGGGCCCGCACAAGCGGUGGAGCAUGUGGUUUAAUUCGAUGCAACGCGAAGAACCUUACCUGGUCUUGACAUCCACGGAAGAAUUCAGAGAUGGAUUUGUGCCUUCGGGAACCGUGAGACAGGUGCUGCAUGGCUGUCGUCAGCUCGUGUUGUGAAAUGUUGGGUUAAGUCCCGCAACGAGCGCAACCCUUAUCCUUUGUUGCCAGCGGUUAGGCCGGGAACUCAAAGGAGACUGCCAGUGAUAAACUGGAGGAAGGUGGGGAUGACGUCAAGUCAUCAUGGCCCUUACGACCAGGGCUACACACGUGCUACAAUGGCGCAUACAAAGAGAAGCGACCUCGCGAGAGCAAGCGGACCUCAUAAAGUGCGUCGUAGUCCGGAUUGGAGUCUGCAACUCGACUCCAUGAAGUCGGAAUCGCUAGUAAUCGUGGAUCAGAAUGCCACGGUGAAUACGUUCCCGGGCCUUGUACACACCGCCCGUCACACCAUGGGAGUGGGUUGCAAAAGAAGUAGGUAGCUUAACCUUCGGGAGGGCGCUUACCACUUUGUGAUUCAUGACUGGGGUGAAGUCGUAACAAGGUAACCGUAGGGGAACCUGCGGUUGGAUCACCUCCUUA